CCUACGGGAGGCAGCAGUGGGGGAUAUUGCACAAUGGGGGAAACCCUGAUGCAGCGACGCCGCGUGGGCGAAGAAGUAUUUCGGUAUGUAAAGCCCUAUCAGCAGGGAAGAAGAAAUGACGGUACCUGAGUAAGAAGCACCGGCUAAAUACGUGCCAGCAGCCGCGGUAAUACGUAUGGUGCAAGCGUUAUCCGGAUUUACUGGGUGUAAAGGGAGCGCAGGCGGCACGGCAAGCCUGAUGUGAAAGCCCGCGGCCCAACCGCGGGACUGCAUUGGGAACUACCGGGCUGGAGUGCCGGAGAGGUAAUCGGAAUUCCUUGUGUAGCGGUGAAAUGCGUAGAUAUUAGGAGGAACACCAGUGGCGAAGGCGGCUUACUGGACUGUAACUGACGUUGAGGCUCGAAAGCGUGGGGAGCAAACAGGAUUAGAUACCCUAGUAGUC
rnacentral:rRNA from 1 species